rnacentral:rRNA from 1 species
AGAGUUUGAUCCUGGCUCAGAUUGAACGCUGGCGGCAGGCCUAACACAUGCAAGUCGAGCGGAUGAAGGGAGCUUGCUCCCGGAUUUAGCGGCGGACGGGUGAGUAAUGCCUAGGAAUCUGCCUGGUAGUGGAGGACAACGACUCGAAAGGGUCGCUAAUACCGCAUACGUCCUACGGGAGAAAGUGGGGGAUCUUCGGACCUCACGCUAUCAGAUGAGCCUAGGUCGGAUUAGCUAAUAGGUGAGGUAAUGGCUCACCUAGGCAACGAUCCGUAACUGGUCUGAGAGGAUGAUCAGUCACACUGGAACUGAGACACGGUCCAGACUCCUACGGGAGGCAGCAGUGGGGAAUAUUGGACAAUGGGCGAAAGCCUGAUCCAGCCAUGCCGCGUGUGUGAAGAAGGUCUUCGGAUUGUAAAGCACUUUAAGUUGGGAGGAAGGGUUGUAGUUUAAUACGCUGCAAUCUUGACGUUACCAACAGAAUAAGCACCGGCUAACUCUGUGCCAGCAGCCGCGGUAAUACAGAGGGUGCAAGCGUUAAUCGGAAUUACUGGGCGUAAAGCGCGCGUAGGCGGCUUGAUAAGAUGGGUGUGAAAUCCCCGGGCUUAACCUGGGAACUGCAUCCAUAACUGUCUGGCUAGAGUACAGUAGAGGGUGGUGGAAUUUCCUGUGUAGCGGUGAAAUGCGUAGAUAUAGGAAGGAACACCAGUGGCGAAGGCGACCACCUGGACUGAUACUGACGCUGAGGUGCGAAAGCGUGGGGAGCAAACAGGAUUAGAUACCCUGGUAGUCCACGCCGUAAACGAUGUCUACUAGCCGUUGGAAUCCUUGAGAUUUUAGUGGCGCAGCUAACGCACUAAGUAGACCGCCUGGGGAGUACGGUCGCAAGAUUAAAACUCAAAUGAAUUGACGG